GGGACACGUGGUAUCCUGUCUGAAUAUGGGGGGACCAUCCUCCAAGGCUAAAUACUCCUGACUGACCGAUAGUGAACCAGUACCGUGAGGGAAAGGCGAAAAGAACCCCGGCGAGGGGAGUGAAAAAGAACCUGAAACCGUGUACGUACAAGCAGUGGGAGCACGCUUAGGCGUGUGACUGCGUACCUUUUGUAUAAUGGGUCAGCGACUUAUAUUCUGUAGCAAGGUUAACCGAAUAGGGGAGCCGAAGGGAAACCGAGUCUUAACUGGGCGUUAAGUUGCAGGGUAUAGACCCGAAACCCGGUGAUCUAGCCAUGGGCAGGUUGAAGGUUGGGUAACACUAACUGGAGGACCGAACCGACUAAUGUUGAAAAAUUAGCGGAUGACUUGUGGCUGGGGGUGAAAGGCCAAUCAAACCGGGAGAUAGCUGGUUCUCCCCGAAAGCUAUUUAGGUAGCGCCUCGUGAAUUCAUCUCCGGGGGUAGAGCACUGUUUCGGCAAGGGGGUCAUCCCGACUUACCAACCCGAUGCAAACUGCGAAUACCGGAGAAUGUUAUCACGGGAGACACACGGCGGGUGCUAACGUCCGUCGUGAAGAGGGAAACAACCCAGACCGCCAGCUAAGGUCCCAAAGUCAUGGUUAAGUGGGAAACGAUGUGGGAAGGCCCAGACAGCCAGGAUGUUGGCUUAGAAGCAGCCAUCAUUUAAAGAAAGCGUAAUAGCUCACUGGUCGAGUCGGCCUGCGCGGAAGAUGUAACGGGGCUAAACCAUGCACCGAAGCUGCGGCAGCGACGCUUAUGCGUUGUUGGGUAGGGGAGCGUUCUGUAAGCCUGCGAAGGUGUGCUGUGAGGCAUGCUGGAGGUAUCAGAAGUGCGAAUGCUGACAUAAGUAACGAUAAAGCGGGUGAAAAGCCCGCUCGCCGGAAGACCAAGGGUUCCUGUCCAACGUUAAUCGGGGCAGGGUGAGUCGACCCCUAAGGCGAGGCCGAAAGGCGUAGUCGAUGGGAAACAGGUUAAUAUUCCUGUACUUGGUGUUACUGCGAAGGGGGGACGGA
rnacentral:rRNA from 1 species